GCAUGAUUUUCAGACCUCAGGGAUUUGUCUUCUAUCUUCUGCUUGUGGGAAGCGCUGCACCAGAACAUUGCUGUGGGUCUGUUCAGCCUGAAGGGCCACAGGCCGAGGAGACAGGCCAACUCUAGCCCCGGCAAGCAUGUCAGAGAAGCCGACUUGGCCUCCAGCACAGCACCCUGGGCCAGGAGCACAUUCUGGGUGUUGAGUGUACCCUGGACGACAUUGUUACAUGUGCUUUCCCAAAUCCACGGACUUCUGGCUGAUCCGGGGUUGCAAUAUGCACUGCACCACCAUCCUCUCUCUUGGAAAUUCCCUUCGGCUGGGAAAGAAAUGGAUGAUCAAGGUCAGUGGUUUCCAACCAGGCUGAACAUCAGAAUCCACAGGAAUGAUGCUAAGCCCCAUUUCACCUCUGAGACUUUCAGGUUCAAGCGUCUGGAAUGGGGCCACAGAUCUGAAUUUUUAAAGAAGGGUUCUGGUUGACUCUGACAGUUACAUUAAAUGAGUAUAUUUUGGAACCACCAGGCUGAGUGGCCUUAAAAUUUUCUUCAAGAACUAAGGCUCCAGGGCAGGAGGGUACUAGGGAAACUGCCUGGCCACCUGACCCUUCUCUGAUCUCCUCACUCUCUCAGGUGACCCCUUCCUGGACCUAGCAUCCCUCAACUUUUCUGACUUCCCUGGACCAGGCUGGGAACUCACAUUCUCUUCUAGAGAAUAGAAUGCAAUAGAGUUGAUGGGAUGUCACUUUUGAUAUUAGUAUGUAAAAAGGCUGUGCACUCUCUCUUGCCUUCUCACUUGCUUUGAGGGAAGCCCACUGCCAUGUUGCAAGUUGCCCUGUGAAGAGGCCUCCAUGACAAGGAACUGUAGGGUCCCCUGGACAACAGCCAGCAAGGCAAUGAGACCCUUAGUCUCAUCAAUAGUCUACGAGGAACUGAAUCUUGCAAGAACCACAUGGAUGAGGUUGCAAGGUCCAAUUAGAUAAACUCAUCCUCGCUGGCAGAUAAUGGCACCAAUGUGAUCAUCCUCCUAGAGGUAUUUUCAUCUUGGUAUGGAGCCUCCAGAGCUAUCUUUGCUUGAAAGAAUGAAACUUCAGGAAUGAAAGUUUGCACAUAAAGCAAGCCCAUGAGAAAGACAUUUCGGGAAAACUAGAAUCCUGUUAAGUUAUGGGAUUUUUUUCAAGCCACAUGGUUGAUAAGUAGUCUGACCAGGAUCCUGGAGCAACACAAGGAAGACAAGGACCCUUGAAGACAAGGCAGCCUUGAAACCAAAUGAAGCCCUGGGCCAGUGAGCAUGGCAAGAGGAAGACUGUUAAUUGCGAGAAAGCUGGGUCUUGAAGAUGAUUCCAUAUCAACAUACAGGGAGUUCCACCACUGAAUGGUCUAUCGGUUGGGAAUGCCAUCAUUUAUUUUCACCAGUGGGGAAGAAUUGGUAUUAAUAUCAAAACCACAGUACUGUCAUACCCAGCUAUAAUUUGCAAUGUUUAUAUGCCUGUACGAAUGAAUAAUUAACAGUUAAAUGAAUCAAUAUAUAUCUAUCUAUGUGUAGGAAUAUCUAAUCUAUAAUAUAUGCUCGCGUAAGUGGUAAUUAAUCUCUUUUUUGAGACAGGGUCUUUCUCUGUCAUACAGGCUGGAGUGCAAUGACAUGAUUAUGGACCUUCAGGGAUUGAGCAGCUCGACAUCCCAAGGAUCAAGCAAUCCUCCGGCCUCAGCCUACCAAGUAGCUGGGACUACAGCCAUUUGACAC
rnacentral:lncRNA from 1 species